rnacentral:rRNA from 1 species
UCGAGAAUCUUCCACAAUGGGCGAAAGCCUGAUGGAGCGACGCCGCGUGAUUGAUGAAGACCCUCUGGGUCGUAAAGAUCUUUUAUAGGGGAGAAAGCCAUGUUUGACAUGGUUGAUGGUACUCUAUGAAUAAGGGGUUGCUAAACUCGUGCCAGCAGCAGCGGUAAUACGAGUGCCCCGAGCGUUAUCCGGAAUUAUUGGGCGUAAAGGGUGUGUAGGUGGCAGUGUUAGUCCUUUGUUAAAACCUUGAGCUUAACUCAAGACAUGCGAAGGAAACGGCACCGCUCGAGAGUGUGAGAGGCAAGCGGAACUCAUGGUGUAGGGGUGAAAUCCGUUAAUAUCAUGGGGAACACCGAAGGCGAAGGCAGCUUGCUGGCACAUUUCUGACACUGAAACACGA